CGUGACUGACACAAACACAAACACAAACAAAAUGUAAAAAUACUGUCACCAUACGAGGACGUCGAGCCUUGAAACUGCCACGAAAAACAGUGCAGCGAAAAUAUUGGUCGGACCAAAGGAAAAGCAGAAGUACGUUGGACUCAGCAGCAACAGCAGAAUCUUAUACAGAACUUCUUGAAGGCGGCA